CAGAUUUUGGUCAAAUGACAUUUGCCCAUUACAGGACUCGGCCAGACAUGAAGAUCUUUGUCUUCACCUUCAUCAUGGCUUUCAUGGUCGCCAUGAUUAGUGCUGAUUCAUCAUCAGAAGAG